CUGAUGACUGCCUCUACUGCAUG
rnacentral:piRNA from 1 species